rfam:Nematostella vectensis strain CH2 x CH6 NEMVEscaffold_589_Cont30495, whole genome shotgun sequence.
GUCAGGAUGGCCGAGCGAUCUAAGGCGCCAGACUCAAGGUUCAAUUCCUUCUCGUCAUGAAUGAAAGAGUGUUCUGGUCUCCGAUUAGAGGCGUGGGUUCUAAUCCCACUUCUGACA